AUGAGUGGCGAACGGGUGAGUAACACGUGAGUAACCUGCCCUCUUCUUUGGGAUAACGCCCGGAAACGGGUGCUAAUACUGGAUAUUCACUGGCCUUCGCAUGGGGGUUGGUGGAAAGGUUUGUUCUAGUGGGGGAUGGGCUCGCGGCCUAUCAGCUUGUUGGUGGGGUGAUGGCCUACCAAGGCUUUGACGGGUAGCCGGCCUGAGAGGGUGACCGGUCACAUUGGGACUGAGAUACGGCCCAG
rnacentral:rRNA from 1 species